rnacentral:rRNA from 1 species
UAGGGAAUCUUCCACAAUGGACGCAAGUCUGAUGGAGCAACGCCGCGUGAGUGAAGAAGGUUUUCGGACCGUAAAGCUCUGUUGUUGGUGAAGAAGGUUAGAGGUAGUAACUGGCCUUUAUUUGACGGUAAUCAACCAGAAAGUCACGGCUAACUACGUGCCAGCAGCCGCGGUAAUACGUAGGUGGCAAGCGUUGUCCGGAUUUAUUGGGCGUAAAGCGAGCGCAGGCGGAAGAAUAAGUCUGAUGUGAAAGCCCUCGGCUUAACCGAGGAAUUGCAUCGGAAACUGUUUUCUUGAGUGCAGAAGAGGAGAGUAGAACUCCAUGUGUAGCGGUGGAAUGCGUAGAUAUAUGGAAGAAUACCAGUGGCGAAGGCGGCUCUCUGGUCUGCAACUGACGCUGAGGCUCGAAAGCAUGGGUAGCGAACAGGAUUAGAUACCCUGGUAGUCCAUGCCGUAAACGAUGAGUGCUAAGUGUUGGGAGGCUUCCGCCUCUCAGUGCUGCAGCUAACGCAUUAAGCACUCCGCCUGGGGGAGUACGACCGCAAGGUUGAA